rnacentral:lncRNA from 1 species
UUAUGGACAAACGUUGUGGGUUUUACUAAGAUUCAGUCCUAAAAUAUUCAAGUUUUGGGCACUUUUGGGCUGGAUGUGGUUCUUAUAUUUCAGGUUAUGUUAUUAUUCUAUUAUGAGGAUUUUAUGCGCAAAAAGGUACAACAUACCCAACAUUGCGGCUCAGUACACCAGCAUAAACGCGCAGCAUAACUUGACGAAGCUGUAACAGUCAUGCUCGCAGCUGGGUCCUGCAGUCCGCCUCCACAUUUGAGCACUGACUCGGCAUCCCGUCGAAUGUUCAACGAGCAGCCUCGAAUUUCGGCAACCUGUGCCUCAACAUCAACAAAUUUCAACAUUAUCUGUCCCGGGACUCUUACAACAUUGCCACUCAUGGGCUAAUUACGGGUCCUGCAACUCGCAGUACUGACCCUGGAGUAAAAUGACACAGACAACUAGACUGGUUUGGAGUGACUACGUACAACCUUGGACAUCAUAGACCUCUAGAUGAACUCUUAACAGAGGGAUAUUUUGGCCGAACUAUCGCACCUCCCUAUAACUCCUUCACACAACAACACUCACCAACAGCAAAUAUCACAGAUGUUUAUCACAGAUCAACAUGAUCACAGAUGUUUUGUCACCGAUGUCGGGUUGCAGUCAACUCAUCGAUCAUCGUGAAUGCAGUUCAUCGAAAAUCAACUUCUGCACCUGUCAUAAAUAAUCAAUUAGAAAUAGAAAAGAACUAAUAUGAUUCGCUUUCGUGUUAAUUUAUUAUUCUAGUUUAAGGCAAUCGCCUGUUAAUUUGAAAAUUCCUAGUUUUGGCUGCACAUGGCGAAAGCGUAAUUAAAAUAUUCUAGCUGAAGUAAUCUCAAAAGAGACAAAAAUAAAUG